CCUUAGAGUUUGAUCCUGGCUCAGAGCGAACGCUGGCGGCAGGUUUAACACAUGCAAGUCGAACGGGCACUUCGGUGCUAGUAGCAGACGGGUGAGUAACACGUGGGAACGUACCUUUCGGUUCGGAAUAAUUCAGGGAAACUUGGACUAAUACCGGAUACGCCCUUCGGGGGAAAGAUUUAUCGCCGAUAGAUCGGCCCGCGUCUGAUUAGCUAGUUGGUGAGGUAAUGGCUCACCAAGGCGACGAUCAGUAGCUGGUCUGAGAGGAUGAUCAGCCACAUUGGGACUGAGACACGGCCCAAACUCCUACGGGAGGCAGCAGUGGGGAAUAUUGGACAAUGGGCGCAAGCCUGAUCCAGCCAUGCCGCGUGAGUGAUGAAGGCCUUAGGGUUGUAAAGCUCUUUUGUCCGGGAAGAUAAUGACUGUACCGGAAGAAUAAGCCCCGGCUAACUUCGUGCCAGCAGCCGCGGUAAUACGAAGGGGGCUAGCGUUGCUCGGAAUCACUGGGCGUAAAGGGCGCGUAGGCGGACUCUUAAGUCGGGGGUGAAAGCCCAGGGCUCAACCCUGGAAUUGCCUUCGAUACUGGGAGUCUUGAGUUCGGAAGAGGUCGGUGGAACUGCGAGUGUAGAGGUGAAAUUCGUAGAUAUUAGGAGGAAUACCAGUGGCGAAGACGACUCUCUGGUCCGAAACUGACGCUAAGGCACGAAAGCGUGGGUAGCGAACAGGAUUAGAUACCCUGGUAGUCCACGCUGUAAACGAUGAGUGCUAGGUGUUGGGGGUCAAACCUCGGUGCCGCAGUUAACGCAUUAAGCACUCCGCCUGGGGAGUACGUUCGCAAGAAUAAAACUCAAAGGAAUUGACGGGGACCCGCACAAGCAGCGGAGCAUGUGGUUUAAUUCGAAGCAACGCGAAGAACCUUACCUGGAUUUGACAUCCCUCUGAUCGUCUCUUAAUCGAGAUUUUCCCUUCGGGGACAGAGGAGACAGGUGGUGCAUGGUUGUCGUCAGCUCGUGUCGUGAGAUGUUGGGUUAAGUCCCGCAACGAGCGCAACCCUUGUCUUUAGUUGCCAUCAAGUAAAGUUGGGCACUCUAAAGAGACUGCCAAGGUAAACUUGGAGGAAGGUGGGGAUGACGUCAAAUCAUCAUGCCCUUUAUGUCCAGGGCUACACACGUGCUACAAUGGCCGAUACAACGGGCAGCUAAGGAGCAAUCCGGAGCAAAUCCUACAAAAUCGGUCCCAGUUCGGAUUGUGGGCUGAAAUUCGCCCACAUGAAGUCGGAGUUGCUAGUAAUCGCGAAUCAGCAUGUCGCGGUGAAUGCGUUCCCGGGUCUUGCACACACCGCCCGUCA
rnacentral:rRNA from 1 species